UAGAUUCUGCUGAGCACGUACUUAUAGAGUGAGGACAGACCUUCAUAAACCAACAGCUCAAAGAAGUGACACUUUUUCAACAAAAUUUCAGUGCCAGCCAUUGGGCCAAAUUAUGCUCUUUGUUCUACUGACGUAAAUCCAGGACCAAGACAUUGACUUUGCCCAGAAGUAACUGAGAACAGAGUUUGGCUGAACAGAAUGUAAUGUCCAAUUGUAUUACAUAAACUCUGGCUUGAAAGGGAAGCUACAGUGUGCUCAAAUGUAGUCCAUGGCAUCCAUCUGUGCCCUUAAACAACAGGAGCCAUUUGAAAUGAAUUAUGUAUGUUUGGAUAGGGAGUAUCCAAUAUAGAAUGAUUAAUGUGUGCAUUAUGACAGUCAGUCAUUUCAAAGGAGAAGCGGGUUAAAAAUAUGCAUGCUCUAGGCCUGUAAUCAAGGCUCCUUGUACAAAGAAUAAAAACAGACACUGGCAAA